GGCCCAGUAGCUCAACUGGCAGAGCAAGCGACUCUUAAUCGUUAGGUUCGGGGUUCGAGUCCCUGCUGGGUCA
rnacentral:tRNA from 1 species